AUCAUCUGCUUGUCUCAAAGACUAAGCCAGUCUAAGUAUAAGCAAUUUAUACAGUGAAACUGCGAGUGGCUCAUUAUAUUAGUUAUCGUUCAUUUGAUAGUACCUUUACGACAUGGUUAUAACCGUGGUGAUUCUAGAGCUAAUACAUGCUAAAAAUCCCGACUGUUUGGAAGGGAAGUAUUUAUUAGAUAACAAUGCUCUUCAGAGCUCUUGGAUGAUUCAUAAUCACUUUUCGAAUCGCAUGGCUUCAUUGCCGGCGAUGGUUCAUUCAAACUUCUGCCCUAUCAACUUUCGAUGGUAGGAUAGUGACCUAUAAUGGUUUCAACGGGUAACGGGGAAUUAGGGUUAGAUUCCGGAGAGGGAGCCUGAGAAACGGCUACCACAUCCAAGGAAGGCAGCAGGCGCGCAAAUUACCCAAUCCUGACACAGGGAGGCAGCGACAAUACAUAACGAUACAGGGCCCUUUCGGGUCUUGUUAUUGGAAUGAGUACAAUGUAAAUACCUUAACGUGGAACAAUUGGAGGGCAAGUCUGGUGCCAGCAGCCGCGGUAAUUCCAGCUCCAAUAGCGUAUAUUAUAAGUUGUUGCAGUUAAAAAGCUCGUAGUUGAGCCUUGGGCUUGGUUGGCCGGUCCGCUUUUUGGCGAGUACUGGAUCCAACCGAGCCUUUCCUUCUGGCUAACCUUCUGCCCUUCUUGAAGUGGUUGGCGAACCAGGACUUUUACCUUGAGAAAAUUAGAGUGUUCAAAGCAGGCCUAUAGGUCGAAUCUGUUAGCAUGGAAUAAUGGAAUAGGACGUUAUGGUUCUAUUUUGUUGGUUUCUAGGACCAUCGUAAUGAUUACUAGGGACGGCCGGGGGCAUCAGCAUUCAGUUGUCAGAGGUGAUUGGAUUCACUGAAGACUAACUACUGCGAAAGCAUCUGCCAAGGACGUUUUCAUUGAUCAAGAACGAAAGUUAGGGUUAUCAAGUCCCUUACAUCUUCAUAUGCACUCAAAAUACCGUUGUCCGAUAAAUGCAACGCGGCUGCAUAGAGUUGUCCAAUCAGAUAAUUUGCUCAACCUGCAUGAACAUGCAUU
rnacentral:rRNA from 1 species